GAUUUUUUUUUUUUAACGGCCGCAGUACCUUGACUGUGCUAAGGUAGCGUAAUAAUUUGGCUUUUGAUUGGGGUCAAGAAUGAAUGGGGAACGGGGAAAUUGUCUCUUUUUAAUUUUUUAAAUUUACUUAGCAGGUGAAAAUUCCUGUAUUUAUUAUUAGACGAGAAGACCCUUAGAAUUUUCAUAAUUUUUGUUGGGGCGACAAUAUUACAUAAAACUUUUAUUUUAUUUUAACAAGACGAGUAAGAUUAAAUUACCUAAGGGAUAACAGCAUAAUAUAAAGAUUAUGACCUCGAUGUUGGAUUAGGGAAUAAUGGUUAGUAAUUAU
rnacentral:rRNA from 1 species